rnacentral:rRNA from 1 species
AUACGUAGGGUGCGAGCGUUGUCCGGAAUUACUGGGCGUAAAGAGCUCGUAGGUGGUUUGUCGCGUCGUCUGUGAAAUUCCGGGGCUUAACUCCGGGCGUGCAGGCGAUACGGGCAUAACUUGAGUACUGUAGGGGAGACUGGAAUUCCUGGUGUAGCGGUGAAAUGCGCUGAUAUCAGGAGGAACACCGGUGGCGAAGGGGGGUCUCUGGGCAGUAACUGACGCUGAGGAGCGAAAGCAUGGGUAGCGAACAGGAUUAGAUACCCUGGUAGUCCAUGCCGUAAACGGUGGGCGCUAGGUGUAGGGGUCUUCCACGACUUCUGUGCCGUAGCUAACGCAUUAAGCGCCCCGCCUGGGGAGUACGGCCGCAAGGCUAAAACUCAAAUGAAUUGACGGGG